rnacentral:snoRNA from 1 species
AGCCUCCUGGUGUUUACCACAGGCUAUAUUCUUACAUUGACUGUAUAGAAAGAGGAAGCAAAGUAAACCUAUGCCAUAUACACUUCAGCCUAGACCCUGUGCCCAUCUGUAUUGUGAAUGAGGAGACAUGG